GCGAAUGAUUAGAGGCCUUAGGGUCGAAACGACCUUAACCUAUUCUCAAACUUUAAAUGGGUAAGAACCUCACCUAUCUUGAUAUGUAGGUGGGGUUGUGAUAUAUUGUGCCCAGUGGGCCACUUUUGGUAAGCAGAACUGGCGCUGUGGGAUGAACCAAACGCAAUGUUACGGUGCCAAAAUUUACAACUCAUGCAGAUACCAUGAAAGGCGUUGCUUGCUUAAAACAGCAGGACGGUGGACAUGGAAGUCGUAAUCCGCUAAGGAGUGUGUAACAACUCACCUGCCGAAGCAACUAGCCCUUAAAAUGGAUGGCGCUUAAGUUGUAUACCUAUACAUUGCCGCUAAUGCAGAUGAUUUA
rnacentral:rRNA from 1 species